AUUGAACGCUGGCGGCAGGCCUAACACAUGCAAGUCGAGCGGAUGAGAGGAGCUUGCUUCUCGAUUCAGCGGCGGACGGGUGAGUAAUGCCUAGGAAUCUGCCUGGUAGUGGGGGACAACGUUUCGUAAGGAACGCUAAUACCGCAUACGUCCUACGGGAGAAAGCAGGGGACCUUCGGGCCUUGCGCUAUCAGAUGAGCCUAGGUCGGAUUAGCUAGUUGGUGAGGUAAUGGCUCCCCAAGGCGACGAUCCGUAACUGGUCUGAGAGGAUGAUCAGUCAGACUGAAACUGGAACACGGUCCAGACUCCUACGGGAGGCAGCAGUGGGGAAUAUUGGACAAUGGGCGAAAGCCUGAUCCAGCCAUGCCGCGUGUGUGAAGAAGGUCUUCGGAUUGUAAAGCACUUUAAGUUGGGAGUAAGGGUUGUAGAUUAAUACUCUGCAAUUUUGACGUUACCGACAGAAUAAGCACCGGCUAACUCUGUGCCAGCCGCCGCCGUAAAAC
rnacentral:rRNA from 1 species